UACGUAGGUGGCAAGCGUUGUCCGGAAUCACUGGGCGUAAAGCGCGCGCAGGCGGCGAUCUACGUCUGGGGUGAAAGCCCGGAGCUCAACUCCGGGACUGCCUUGGAUACGGGAUCGCUUGAGGAUUGGAGAGGCAAGGGGAAUUCCACGUGUAGGCGGUGAAAUGCGUAGAUAUGUGGAGGAACACCUGUGGCGAAGGCGCCUUGCUGGCCAAUUUCUGACGCUGAGGCGCGAAAGCGUGGGGAGCAAACAGG
rnacentral:rRNA from 1 species